rnacentral:rRNA from 1 species
UACAGAGGUCUCAAGCGUUGUUCGGAUUCAUUGGGCGUAAAGGGUGUGUAGGUGGCGCCGUAAGUCGGGUGUGAAAUUUCGGAGCUUAACUCCGAAACUGCAUUCGAUACUGCGGUGCUUGAGGACUGGAGAGGAGACUGGAAUUCAUGGUGUAGCAGUGAAAUGCGCAGAUAUCAGGAGGAACACCGGUGGCGAAGGCGGUGGGCUGGGCCGGAACUGACGCUGAGGAGCGAAAGCGUGGGGAGCGAACAGG